AUCCUUAGGUCGCUGGUUCGAUUCCGGCUCGAAGGA
rnacentral:tRNA from 1 species